UACGUAGGGUGCGAGCGUUGUCCGGAAUUACUGGGCGUAAAGAGCUCGUAGGUGGUUUGUCGCGUUGUUCGUGAAAACUCACAGCUUAACUGUGGGCGUGCGGGCGAUACGGGCAGACUGGAGUACUGCAGGGGAGACUGGAAUUCCUGGUGUAGCGGUGGAAUGCGCAGAUAUCAGGAGGAACACCCGUGGCGAAGGCGGCUCUCUGGGACGGUACUGACGCUGAGACGCGAAAGCGUGGGGAGCGAACAGG
rnacentral:rRNA from 1 species